UACGUGGGGUGCAGGCGUUAAUCGGAAUUACUGGGCGUAAAGCGUGCGCAGGCGGUGAUGUAAGACAGUUGUGAAAUCCCCGGGCUCAACCUGGGAACUGCAUCUGUGACUGCAUCGCUGGAGUGCGGCAGAGGGGGAUGGAAUUCCGCGUGUAGCAGUGAAAUGCGUAGAUAUGCGGAGGAACACCGAUGGCGAAGGCAAUCCCCUGGGCCUGCACUGACGCUCAUGCACGAAAGCGUGGGGAGCAAACAGG
rnacentral:rRNA from 1 species